GGACCCCUAGGGACCCCCAUGGAUACUAGUAGGCUGGUAAAUGAGAAAAGAAUAUGUUGUAUAAUGAUUGAAUUACAAAAGGCGUGAUAAGUGCUAUGUUUUACAGCUUAUAUUAUUCCAUGAUUGUGAUAAUGUUAUUAUUUUUCUUAUAUUGUUUUCAUAAAUUCCACCGAGGUAAGUGGAUGGUAAAGGUUUUAUCAUAAAUAAAAGGAUUUGUUGUAAAAUAUGCUGCAUUGGUCUUUUUGUGUUUUUCUACCCACCUUUACCUCCGUGACGGUGAGAUAUCGUGAUGUUCUUACUGGGCUAGUGUAGCUCACUC
rnacentral:lncRNA from 1 species